GCACGAUAACAACUUUUGAAGGAGCAGGAGCUAUUUCAACCGAGCUUGUAGUGAUAACAUCAUCGAGGGAAGAAAGAGUCACGGGAACUUCAAUUUCCAUAGACUGUAUCACAGAAGUUUCACCCUCGAAAGCUGGAAUGAUAACUUCAACAACCUCAGUAGCUGCUUCAGAAUUCAAUAAUUCUUCUGUUCGAGGAGCUUCGAGUGCUGGAGAAGGAAUGUCGAUAGUUCCACGUGCAGGAGAAGGCGUAUCAGCAGGUUGUUGACUUUUCUCGAUAGUGUCUAUGACUUUGGCUAAUUCAGACUACAAGUCAAAGUUUAUUUGUGUAUCCUCCAUCAAAGCAUCAAGGUGAGAAUUAAGAAAAGCCCAACUUACCUCUAUGUUGAAAUUUUCUUCAAGAACAUUAUAUUCCUUCUACAGAUCCUCAUAUUCCCUUUCCCACAUAGCAAGAUCAUUUUUCGCUACUUGAUG
rnacentral:lncRNA from 1 species